GUGUGUGUGUGUGUGUGUGUGUGUGUGUGUGUGUGUGUGUGUGUGUGUGUGUGUUUUGAGUAGUUCUACACCAGGAUCGAGGGGAAACUACCGGACUACAACAUUCGCAUCCAGCUUCCUGAGGAGCAGCAGCAGAACCUGUUCAAACGGUGAGACGAGAGUGAGGAAGACGAGGCUGACAUCAUCUCCCGGGAGGCGCUGAAGAGGCAGUCCCAGCUCAUCAUCGACGCCAAGACCAAGAAGAAGCCCAGGAAGAAGAAGAAGUGAACCUCCUGCUCCUAAACCCAGGACCUUAAAGUCCUGAAGGUCAAAAAGUCAGGACUGUAGUCUGAGUUUGAGUUUCCCACCAUGAAUAAAGAUGUAUUGUUAUUUUUGAUUAAUUUGCAUAUUCAGAAUAUUGUUGGUACUAUCCCUAUUGUAGAAGUAUUAAUAAAGUUAUACCAUGUUUACGUAUU